UGAGGAAUAUUGGUCAAUGGGCGAGAGCCUGAACCAGCCAAGUCGCGUGAAGGAAGACAGUCCUAAGGAUUGUAAACUUCUUUUAUACGGGAAUAACGGGCGAUACGAGUAUUGCAUUGAAUGUACCGUAAGAAUAAGCAUCGGCUAACUCCGUGCCAGCAGCCGCGGUAAUACGGAGGAUGCGAGCGUUAUCCGGAUUUAUUGGGUUUAAAGGGUGCGUAGGUUGUUCGGUAAGUCAGCGGUGAAACCUGAGCGCUCAACGUUCAGCCUGCCGUUGAAACUGCCGGGCUUGAGUUCAGUGGCGGCAGGCGGAAUUCGUGGUGUAGCGGUGAAAUGCAUAGAUAUCACGAGGAACUCCGAUUGCGCAGGCAGCGUACUACAUUACAACUGACACUGAAGCACGAAAGCGUGGGUAUCAAACAGG
rnacentral:rRNA from 1 species